rnacentral:lncRNA from 1 species
CAAGAGCUUCACUUGCCUUACCCUAGAGUCGUCUUUGCCUGCAACCAUCUAAUGCAGAUGUUAUUUGCAGCUACAAUUGGGGACAGAGGAGAGCCAAGCCUAUGUUGACCAGCCUGAAAACUGUCCCAUUUGUGGAGCUGAAAUGGUUUUAUAACAUCUUCGGCUGUUCCCCAGGUAUUUCCAUCAUAAUAUCCUAUGUUGAUCAGAAGGACUUCCAUCAUAAUUCCCUAAAUGUAGCUAUAUCUACUUGGAUAGUCUUAAUCUACUGGUCCUCUUCAAACUUUAACCCACUGUUGCACAACCGCUGAAGGAGCUUGGAAUAUUUGUAGCAGAGUUAGGUACCUGAUUUCUGUUAUAUUUUGUUAAUAUAAGUGAUACGCUAACUUUUUAUAUAGAGAUAGCAAUCUGGAAGGAAAAUAUGGGUCCUGCUCUGCCUAUAUUUUGGCUUGUGGGAGAGGGGAAUUAGCUAAGUGCUUUUCUCCACAUGUCUUCAUUUUCUUGUUGAUUCCUUUCUUGUUCCAUAUUCCUUUCUGUGCUAUUCCUUUUACUAUAUGUUAUGCACUCUCAUUCUUUAGCUUUGUAUAAAGAACAUCCUAUGUGCAUUUAGAGGACUGCAUUUUUUAUCUUUAAUGUCCAAAACCUUGCU